rnacentral:rRNA from 1 species
UACAGAGGGUGCGAGCGUUAAUCGGAAUUACUGGGCGUAAAGCGUGCGUAGACGGUUAUCUAAGUCGGAUGUGAAAGCCCCGGGCUCAACCUGGGAAUUGCAUUCGAGACUGAAUAGCUAGGGUACGGUAGAGGGAAGUGGAAUUUCCGGUGUAGCGGUGAAAUGCGUAGAUAUCGGGAGGAACACCUAUGGCGAAGGCAGCUCGCUGGGACGUUACUGACGCUGAGACGCGAAAGCGUGGGGAGCAAACAGG